rnacentral:rRNA from 1 species
UCGGGAAUUUUGGGCAAUGGGCGCAAGCCUGACCCAGCAACGCCGCGUGAGGGAUGAAGGCCCUCGGGUCGUAAACCUCUGUCGGGAGGGAAGAACGUCAACCGGGCGAAUAGGCCGGUUGGCUGACGGUACCUCCAAAGGAAGCACCGGCUAACUCCGUGCCAGCAGCCGCGGUAAUACGGAGGGUGCGAGCGUUGUUCGGAAUCAUUGGGCGUAAAGCGCGUGUAGGCGGCUUGGUUAGUCGGGUGUGAAAUCCCGGGGCUCAACCCCGGAACUGCACUCGAUACUGCCUCGCUAGAGUCCCGGAGAGGAAGGCGGAAUUCCCGGUGUAGAGGUGAAAUUCGUAGAUAUCGGGAGGAACACCAGCGGCGAAGGCGGCCUUCUGGACGGUGACUGACGCUGAGACGCGAAAGUGUGGGGAGCAAACAGGAUUAGAUACCCCCGUAGUCC